UAUCUACACUUAAAACAAAUGUUGCAACCUUAAAAAACCACCAAACUGUACAAAAUCCACAAGUUGCGUGAUUGUGUCUUGGCGCUCAAACCCAACGCCGCGCUGCGAAUAGCUUACCGCCUAUCGCAGCGUGGAGUCCCUGUAUACCACUAAACGUUGUUUUUAUUUUCAGCCACUACACCUAAAUUAAGACUACUACUAACGACGUACUAAGAUGGAAAAAUAACUCAGAGAACGUAAUGUCGUUGAUUUGGGAAAACUCAUAUUCCCCUAUUAAUUAUCAUGCUACUCCAAUAUAUGCCAGAAAGAAUAUUGACUUGACGUACAAGGAUUGCUUAACCCAAUUUCUAUGUAAGCAUUUAGACCCUUGAUUAAAAUUGCAUCACAUAAUGAUAUUGUUUGUUUUGAGCUUAAAUUCGACAAGCUUAAAAUGCACAGAUAGAUUCUAAGACUUAUUUAUUUAUACAACAAAAAACCAAGUUCGUCUACGAUAUGGUAAAUCGGACUCGGAACUGAGGGAUUAUCGGACUGAUGAAUGGUUCCAAAUCCCACCGAAUCAGAACAUAAGAUCAAAAUUAAAUGCAUGUCCUCGUGAACAUUGAAUCAUUGAUUUUGGAAUAGACCCUGACCCUAAACGAGCUCAAAGGAACAUUGAUAGCGUGACCAAUAGAAGACUGAAAUAAUGCGGCUCGGAUGAGUAUUCUUGUUUAUAUCGUUACGGCUAUAAACACUUUUUUGUUCCUAUUAACAAAACAUCCCCUUUUUCUUCGCUCUUCCGGAACCGGUACAGAAGGUUAAAUAUUCGUGAUCGGUCGGAUAUUAUGGUGUGAAUCUCUGCACGUAUCAAUAAGGAAUUGAUAAAUCAUUGAAUCAAGCGAUUUUUACCUUUUAUAGAAUUAUACUUAUAGUUGGACUUCUUUAUUAUAUAAAGAAGGUCUGAUUACUUGUAAAGAACAUUGUAACACACAUUCUAAAGUAGUAUAUUAUUAAUUUCUUUCAUUAAAGCUUUUGUUCUUCUGUAUCUUGAUACUGAUCAAACUGCAUCCAGUUCAGGUGUAUACGAUUGAAGUCGGGCUCGUCUACGACAUGGUAUAUCGGUCUCGGAAUGUGAGGACUGAUGAUCGGUCCCAAAUCCCACAGGGCCAAAACCCCAUAUCAUAAUGUUUGUCCUCAUAAACA
rnacentral:lncRNA from 1 species